rnacentral:rRNA from 1 species
CACACCGCCCGUCACACCACGAAAGUUGAUUUCACCAGAAGCAGGUAGCCUGACCGCAAGGAGGGCGCCUACCACGGUGUGGUCAAUGACUGGGGUG